rnacentral:lncRNA from 1 species
AUGCCUUGGCACAGCUUCGACGGACGCCUUUUCCACUUAAAGUACCUGCAAGCACAAAGUGGUGUGGAAAAAGUUGUAUUGUUGGAGAGUGAUUCAUUUUUGUCUUUGUUUCUCUGUCUGAGAGGAAAACUAAUGGAAACCUGUAGGAAGAAAGGAAGAAUCCUGGAGUCCAGACCCAAUAAAAGAGAGCAAGGUCAUAAAACCACACCAGGCACCAGUUUCAAAGAAAGACUCACCGGCAUUCAGUUCUAUUCAGUGUCGGAUGAUGCAGUUGGAACUGGCAGCAUCUGUCAGACUUAGUGAGUCCACUAUCAUCACCAUCAUCCAAACUCCCCCAGGGUUCGAUCACAUCACAAACAUCACAUCACAAACAGAG